rnacentral:rRNA from 1 species
AUGAAGAAUACCAGUGGCGAAGGCGGCCUCCUGGAUCUGUACUGACACUGAGGUGCGAAAGCGUGGUAGCGAACAGGAUUAGAUACCCUGGUAGUCCACGCCGUAAACGAUGACAACUAGCUGUUAGGAGACUUUGUCUUUUAGUGGCGCAGCUAACGCUUUAAGUUGUCCGCCUGGGGAGUACGGCCGCAAGGCUAAAACUCAAAUGAAUUGACGGGGACCCGCACAAGCAGUGGAUCAUGUGGUUUAAUUCGAUGCAACGCGAAAAACCUUACCUACUCUUGACAUACUUGGAAGCUCCUGUAAUGAGAGUGUGCUUUUAAGAACCAAGAUACAGGUGCUGCAUGGCUGUCGUCAGCUCGUGUCGUGAGAUGUUCCGUUAAGUCGGAUAACGAGCGCAACCCUUACCCUUAUUUGCCAGCGAUUCGGUCGGGAACUAUAAGGGGACUGCCGGUGAUAAACCGGAGGAAGGUGAGGACGACGUCAAGUCAUCAUGGCCCUUACGAGUAGGGCUACACACGUGAUACAAUGGGAGAGACAGACGGACGCUAAGCCGCGAGGUGGUGCUAAUCCUAGAAACUCUCUCGUAGUCCGGAUUGGAGUCUGCAACUCGACUCCAUGAAGUUGGAAUUGCUAGUAAUCGCGGAUCAGCAUGCCGCGGUGAAUACGUUCUCGGGUUUUGUA